UCCGGAAUCAUUGGGCGUAAAGCGCAUGUAGGUUGUUUAAUAAGUCUGUUGUUAAAGACUAGGGCUUAACCCUAGAAAAGCAAUGGAAACUACUAGACUAGAGUAUGGCAGGGGUAGAGGGAAUUUCUAGUGUAGCGGUGAAAUGCGUAGAUAUUAGAAAGAACACCGGUGGCGAAAGCGCUCUACUGGACCAUUACUGACACUCAGAGGCGAAAGCUAGGGUAGCAAAAGGGAUUAGAUACCCCUGUAGUCCUAGCCGUAAACGAUGGAUACUACAUGUUGUGCAUUACGUACAGUAUGGUAGCUAACGCGUUAAGUAUCCCGCCUGGGGAGUACGCUCGCAAGGGUGAAACUCAAAGGAAUUGACGGGGGCCCGCACAAGCGGUGGAGCAUGUGGUUUAAUUCGAUGCAACGCGAAGAACCUUACCAGGACUUGACAUACUACAAAUUCCUUUGAGAAAAGGAAGUGCCUUCGGGAAUGUAGAUACAGGUGGUGCAUGGCUGUCGUCAGCUCGUGUCGUGAGAUGUUGGGUUAAGUCCCGCAACGAGCGCAACCCUUAUUUUUAGUUACCAAUUCGUUGGGUUCUCUAGAAAGACUGCCGGUGACAAACCGGAGGAAGGUGAGGAUGACGUCAAGUCGGCCUGCCCCUUAUGUCCUGGGCUACACACGUGCUACAAUGGUUAAGACAAAGAGUCGCGAGCUCGUAAGGGUCAGCUAAUCUCAUAAACUUAGCCCAAGUUCAGAUUGUAGGCUGCAACUCGCCU
rnacentral:rRNA from 1 species